UACGUAGGGUGCAAGCGUUAAUCGGAAUUACUGGGCGUAAAGCGUGCGUAGGCGGUUCUAUAAGACAGAUGUGAAAUCCCCGGGCUCAACCUGGGAACUGCAUUUGUGACUGUAGAGCUGGAGUACGGUAGAGGGGGAUGGAAUUCCGCGUGUAGCAGUGAAAUGCGUAGAUAUGCGGAGGAACACCGAUGGCGAAGGCAAUCCCCUGAACCUGUACUGACGCUCAUGCACGAAAGCGUGGGGAGCAAACAGG
rnacentral:rRNA from 1 species